rnacentral:rRNA from 1 species
GAUGAACGCUGGCGGCGUGCUUAACACAUGCAAGUCGAACGAUUGAAGCUGGAGCUUGCUCCGGCCGAUUUCGUGGCGGACGGGUGAGUAACGCGUGGGUAACCUGCCUCAUACAGGGGGAUAGCAGUUGGAAACGACUGGUAAAACCGCAUAAGCGCACAGUGUCGCAUGACACAGUGUGAAAAACACUCCGGUGGUAUGAGAUGGACCCGCGUCUGAUUAGCUAGUUGGUGAGUAACGGCCCACCAAGGCGACGAUCAGUAGCCGGCCUGAGAGGUGAACGGCCACAUUGGGACUGAGACA